rnacentral:misc_RNA from 1 species
AAAGUCGUAACAAGGUCUCCGUUGGUGAACCAGCGGAGGGAUCAUUACCGAGUUUACAACUCACCAAACCCACUGCAAACGUACCUAUCUCGCCCCUCCGGCAGGCGGUCCCAGGGUGGGGCCUCAGCCUAUGGCGCCUGCCGAAGGCGGCACAACUUUUGCUCUUACAAGUACAUCUGAGUCUAAAGACAAAAUAUCAAAAUUUUCAAUUGUGGAUCUCUUGGUUCUG